AGAACGAACGCUGGCGGCAUGCCUAACACAUGCAAGUCGAACGAGACCUUCGGGUCUAGUGGCGCACGGGUGCGUAACGCGUGGGAAUCUGCCCUUGGGUUCGGAAUAACAGUUGGAAACGACUGCUAAUACCGGAUGAUGUCUUCGGACCAAAGAUUUAUCGCCCAGGGAUGAGCCCGCGUAGGAUUAGCUUGUUGGUGAGGUAAAGGCUCACCAAGGCGACGAUCCUUAGCUGGUCUGAGAGGAUGAUCAGCCACACUGGGACUGAGACACGGCCCAGACUCCUACGGGAGGCAGCAGUGGGGAAUAUUGGACAAUGGGCGAAAGCCUGAUCCAGCAAUGCCGCGUGAGUGAUGAAGGCCUUAGGUUGUAAAGCUCUUUUACCCGGGAUGAUAAUGACAGUACCGGGAGAAUAAGCCCGGCUAACUCCGUGCCAGCAGCCGC
rnacentral:rRNA from 1 species